rnacentral:rRNA from 1 species
UGCCAGCAGCCGCGGUAAUACGGAGGGGGCGAGCGUUGUUCGGAGUGACUGGGCGUAAAGAGCACGUAGGCGGUGUUGUAAGUCAUUAGUCAAAGGCUAGAGCUCAACUUUAGUAAGGCUAGUGAUACUAUAAUACUAGAGUAUCGGAGAGGAUUGCAGAAUUCCUGGUGUAGCGGUGAAAUGCGUAGAUAUCAGGAGGAAUACCGGUAGCGAAGGCGGCAAUCUGGCCGGUAACUGACGCUGAGGUGCGAAAGCGUGGGUAGCAAACAGGAUUAGAUA